AACUAUGAUCUGAAGUG
rnacentral:rRNA from 1 species